CAUUUCCAACCGGCUAGACUACUCACCGAGUCGCGUAUGCGCGUCGGACACGACGGGAGAGCACCAGGAGAGAGCUCAGUGAAUUACGUCGGAGCAGCGAGCCCAUCGUCAGGCGGACUCGUACGGACAACAGUAAAGGAAAAAGGAAAAAGUUCCCUUUUUGGCGUCAAGAACCGGAGCAGAGAUAACCUAUCUGUGACCAAGAGUUGAAAGGCAGCAAGAAAAACAUGAACGGGGUGACACUUUUCUUUCUGCUGGUGUUUGCUGUGGGAAGGGCUCAGUGCUGUCUAGUCACAGCAAGCCCAGGCA